ensembl:snRNA U6 U6 spliceosomal RNA
GUGCUNNNNNUGGCAGCACAUAUACUAAAAUCGAAAUGAUACAGAGAAGAUUAACAUAGCCCCUGUGUAAGGAUGACACGUAGAUUCGUGAAGUGCUCCAUAUUUUU